GGCGAGGAACCUGCGCGGGAUGCUGCGGGGCUUGGAGAGCGCAGGCCUCGCGCUCGGCGCCCCUCCAGCCUGGACUUGGGGAGCAAAGAGAAGCCCCUCGCGCGCGCUGCUCCACCUCCCGGCUGUUCCCGGCAGCCCCCAGGCUCCGCGGGACUCACCGCCUUCAGCUGCUCCAGCCGGUCCUUCAUCCUGGAGCCCAGGUGCCCGGAGGCGAGGAGCGCGUCCCAGGACUUUGUCCUCUUCUGCGAGGAGCAUGCUUCACGCUGACUUCAUCGGCUGCCAUAAAGAUAAGUCUGUAUGACGAGGGUUGGGCAGUUUGAACUAGCCUUGGUUCUCAGCGCUAAUCCUCUCUCUGACGUCCAGCAAAAGUCCUUCUGCCUCCUGCUCUUAGGUGGAGUCUUGUUUAAUGCGAAGGCUUCCAUGCCCCCUGGUGGUCAUAAAUGGAAAAGGAGAGCAACCUUGUCUGUCUUGUUCACUGAUGAGGAACCAGACCUGAACAGAGGACCAAAACGUACUGGACACUCAGUAAAUGUUUACUAAACUUAUUAAAUGAAUCUUCUUAAAAUAUGAUUCUCAUCUUUCCUAUUAAAACCUGCAGUGGCUCUCAUUACCCAGAAAGGGAGUAUUUUCGUGGAAUAGCAUUCAAGGUCUUGCCCAGCCUGGCCAUGCCUUGCAUAAUGUCACCCCAGACACAGCUCCACCAUCAGCCUCUGCAAACCACUACCUCUUCUCUGAACCUAGGUCAUUCUUCCAUGAAGUCCCACUUCCCUCUGCCCGUUAUGUCAUUCUUCCAUUUCAAGUCUGGCAAAUUUCUACUCCUCCUUCAAGACAGAAGCUUUCUCCAGUUUACCCAGGUGGUUUCCAUAUUUGUCUCUCUGUACACACCCUCCCAACUAGUUCAAGUCUGUUUAAAAAAAACACGCCCUAUGUUGUCUUGAACCUAGUUGCUCACAUAACCAUCUCUUUAGAUAGACCAUGAACUGCCUGAGAGUAAUCAUGGAUAUUUUUCAUCCUCCAUAGCUCCCAUGAAAUAGGUCUGCUUAUAAAUAUUCAGAGAAUCCCAAUACACACACUCUAGGGAUCCUUUCCCUCUGCCUAAGGAGGAAAGAAAAUCCUUCCUGGAUUAUGGCUCUUAAAACCAAAUAUAAUUGCAACUCCACACAAUUUAAAGGAUGAAUUUGGUAUCACUGAAUUGAAUCCUAGAUUUAAAAUAAUAAGCUUUAUUGAUAAAGAUGUUUUGUAUCAUAUUGUUCAGAUGUUUCCCUUACAUUAAAUGUCAUAUGCCAUAUAUCUAUGUCUAUGACUUUCAAAGUAAACUAUUUGUA